UACGUAGGUGGCAAGCGUUGUCCGGAUUUACUGGGCGUAAAGGGCGUGCAGGCGGUCUGUUUAGUCUAGGGUGAAAGCUCCCGGCUCAACUGGGAGAGGUUCUUGGAUACUGGCAGACUUGAGGGAGGUAGAGGAGAGUGGAAUUCCCGGUGUAGUGGUGAUAUGCGUAGAUAUCGGGAGGAACACCAGUGGCGAAGGCGGCUCUCUGGGCCUUACCUGACGCUGAGACGCGAAAGCGUGGGGAGCGAACCGG
rnacentral:rRNA from 1 species